AAUAACUCCAUGUCUUUCAUUUUUAAUGCAUAAAAGGGAAGAAAGAGCAGAAUGAAAAUACCACCCUGCGGCACCCACGGUGACAGAGUCCACGGGGACUUUGAUGUUAGAGACAAGCAGAGUUAAGAAAGGCCAGGUCACGUCUCACCUGCUGCUAACGUUCUACUGGGGCUCUCUGACCCUCUGUAUAGCGAUGAUCACCAGGACUCAUCAGAAGCCGCCAACAGAAGACCGCCUUCACCUUGUCCUUUGUUCUAAGCAUCCCUGGCCCUUCCUGCCAGGGACCAUCUCUGUGACAUGGUUCUCUAUGGCACCCCAAACUCCUGCUGGUCACUCAGAUUCCAAUCCCAUGCCCCGGUGACACAAAUUGCACACUUCAGCCAGCACCGCCUACAAAAUUAUCAGGGGAAGCGGAGGAACAAUGAAUCCCUAACGUCCGUGGGAACAUAGCUCUAAAGCAGAGACUUGUGUACCCCAGCAUCUUCACUCGCCCCAUUAUUUUAACUACGCAUGUGGCUAUCCCAAACACUACUGUUUCCAGCUUCUUAUGCAGUUGAACAUAAUAAGAGCACAUGUCUGCCUCUGGCCA
rnacentral:lncRNA from 1 species